rnacentral:rRNA from 1 species
UGGGGAAUUUUGGACAAUGGGCGAAAGCCUGAUCCAGCAAUGCCGCGUGUGUGAAGAAGGCCUUCGGGUUGUAAAGCACUUUUGUCCGGAAAGAAAUCCUUGGCUCUAAUACAGUCGGGAGAUGACGGUACCGGAAGAAUAAGCACCGGCUAACUACGUGCCAGCAGCCGCGGUAAUACGUAGGGUGCAAGCGUUAAUCGGAAUUACUGGGCGUAAAGCGUGCGCAGGCGGUUUGCUAAGACCGAUGUGAAAUCCCCGGGCUCAACCUGGGAACUGCAUUGGUGACUGGCAGGCUAGAGUAUGGCAGAGGGGGGUAGAAUUCCACGUGUAGCAGUGAAAUGCGUAGAGAUGUGGAGGAAUACCGAUGGCGAAGGCAGCCCCCUGGGCCAAUACUGACGCUCAUGCACGAAAGCGUGGGGAGCAAAACAGGAUUAGAUACCCUGGUAGUCCACGCCCUAAAACGAUGUCAACUAGUUGUUGGGGAUUCAUUUCCUUAGUAACGUAGCUAACGCGUGAAGUUGACCGCCUGGGGAGUACGGUCGCAAGAUUAAAACUUAAAGGAAUUGACGGGGUCAUAGCUGUUUCCU